UCUGUCAGUGAUGAUUAUUAUCCGCCUUGGUUGAGUUUAACUACCAUGAAAAGAACUCACAUGCACUACCAUCUGAGACGGG
ensembl:snoRNA SNORD33 Small nucleolar RNA Z195/SNORD33/SNORD32 family